CAUUUGCUUGUUCUUGCAUGUGCAGACACAAGAUGCAAUUAUGAGGUUAGAACUAUCCUGAGCUCCAGUGUAAAUGUAUCACCUGCAUCUUGAAACUGGCAUUCUACAACAAAAUGAAAGAUAAAAGCUUAUUCACCGUCAGAAUUAUGAGAAUGGCUGCGGUGGCUUCUGAAACAUAGAAGACAUAGGUAUGUCAGCACUACAAUGGAAGCCCACAUGCUAGCCAAGAGUCACUGCUGACUGCGGAGCUGGGGUGCAUGGUCCCUUUGGGGGCAUGUAGGGCUUCCCCAGGUGACCUAGCCAGGUGGAAUCACUGCAGGGAUCUCACCGAGUGAACAGGAGCAGGGCUGGCCCUAGAUCAAAUGGUGCCUCAGGCGAAGAGUGUCUUCGGCACCUCCC